UCCUGGGUGGCUCAGUCGGUUGAGCAUCUGACUUCGGCUCAGGUCAUGAUCUCGAGUCUGUGAGUUCGAGCCCCACAUUGGGAU
rnacentral:tRNA from 1 species